rnacentral:tRNA from 1 species
GCCUCCAUAGCUCAAUUGGUAGAGCUCCCGACUCUUAAUCGGUAGGUUCCAGGUUCGAGUCCUGGUGGGGGCACCA